rnacentral:rRNA from 1 species
UACGUAGGUGGCAAGCGUUGUCCGGAAUUAUUGGGCGUAAAGCGCGCGCAGGCGGCCUUUUAAGUCUGAUGUGAAAUCUUGCGGCUCAACCGCAAGCGGUCAGUGGAAACUGGAGGGCUUGAGUACAGAAGAGGGGAGUGGAAUUCCACGUGUAGCGGUGAAAUGCGUAGAGAUCCGGAGGAACACCAAAGGCGAAGGCAGUGUCCUGGGAAGUACCUGACGCUCAGGUGCGAAAGCCAGGGGAGCGAACGGG